AUGUUGCCUGGUUCCUGGCUUGCUGAUGGAGAGACUGACUGGACUCCCACCAUGCCUCCACACAGGGAAUCUGUCUCCUUGACUCCUAGAAGUCACCAGCUCCCUGGUCUUCUGCCUUUCUUGAUGCGGCUUCUCACACUCUCUUGCAGUAUGGAUCACAGAGGACUCUGCAGCUUCACCAUCUAUAAAUGUGCCCACAUUUCAGCUACUAGUGAGAGUGAAGAGAAGGGCUACAGUUUCCACAUUUAAAAACCAUAGUUGUGAAGCAGUUAAACUUGGCUUUGAUCAUGUUCAGAAGUUGCAAAGGGACACCAAAAGC
rnacentral:lncRNA from 1 species